rnacentral:piRNA from 1 species
GUGGGUGUCAUCAAAGCUGUGGA